rnacentral:rRNA from 2 species
UUUGAAAUCUGGCUCUUUCAGGGUCCGAGUUGUAAUUUGCAGAGGGCGCUUUGGCGUUGGCAGCGGUCCAAGUUCUUUGGAACAGGACGUCACAGAGGGUGAGAAUCCCGUACGUGGUCGCUAGCCUUCGCCGUGUAAAGCCCCUUCGACGAGUCGAGUUGUUUGGGAAUGCAGCUCUAAAUGGGAGGUAAAUUUCUUCUAAAGCUAAAUACUGGCCAGAGACCGAUAGCGCACAAGUAGAGUGAUCGAAAGAUGAAAAGCACUUUGGAAAGAGAGUCAAAUAGCACGUGAAAUUGUUGAAAGGGAAGCGCUUGCAGCCAGACUUGCCUGUAGUUGCUUAUCUGGACUUUUGUCCGGUGCACUCUUCUGCGGGCAGGCCAGCAUCAGUUUGGGCGGUUGGAUAAAGGUCUCUGUCAUGUACCUCCUUUCGGGGAGGCCUUAUAGGGGAGACGACAUGCAACCAGCCUGGACUGAGGUCCGCGCAUCUGCUAGGAUGCUGGCGUAAUGGCUGUAAGCGGCCCGUCUUGAAACACGGACCAAGGAGUCUAACAUCUAUGCGAGUGUUUGGGUGUCAAGCCCAGACGCGUAAUGAAAGUGAACGGAGGUGGGAACCCUUUGGGUGCACCAUCACCGAUCCUGAUGUCUUCGGAUGGAUUUGAGUAAGAGCAUGGCUGUUGGGACCCGAAAGAUGGUGAACUAUGCUUGAAUAGGGUGAAGCCAGAGGAAACUCUGGUGGAGGCUCGCAGCGGUUCUGACGUGCAAAUCGAUCGUCAAAUUUGGGCAUAGGGGCGAAAGACUAAUCGAACUAUCUAGUAGCUGGUUCCUGCCGAAGUUUCCCUCAGGAUAGCAGUAACGUAUUCAGUUUUAUGAGGUAAAGCGAAUGAUUAGAGGCCUGGGGGUUGAAACAACCUUCACCUAUUCUCAAACUUUAAAUAUGUAAGAAGUCCUUGUUACUUGAUUGAACGUGGACACUUGAAUGUACCGUUACUAUGGGCCAUUUUUGGUAAGCAGAACUGGCGAUGCGGGAUGAACCGAACGCGGGGUUAAGGUGCCAGAAUAUACGCUCAUCAGACACCACAAAAGGUGUUAGUUCAUCUAGACAGCAGGACGGUGGCCAUGGAAGUCGGAAUCCGCUAAGGAGUGUGUACAACUCCCUGCCGAAUGAACUAGCCCUGAAAAUGGAUGGCGCUC